rnacentral:rRNA from 1 species
GUAUCCUGGCUCAGGAUGAACGCUAGCUACAGGCUUAACACAUGCAAGUCGAGGGGCAGCAUGGUCUUAGCUUGCUAAGGCCGAUGGCGACCGGCGCACGGGUGAGUAACACGUAUCCAACCUGCUGUCUACUCUUGGACAGCCUUCUGAAAGGAAGAUUAAUACAAGAUGGCAUCAUGAGUCCGCAUGUUCACAUGAUUAAAGGUAUUCCGGUAGACGAUGGGGA